CUGCUGGACGGCGAUGGGGUUCGCCGCUAACCGCCUGAAAGUCCUCUCGAGGCUGAUGACUCCUGCCAAUCC
rnacentral:ncRNA from 2 species